rnacentral:lncRNA from 1 species
UACUAGUAAGAUUAUAAAAAAAUUGGAGGAAGCACCAAGCCCCAUGGCUCAUUACAAUUGGGACUCAAAAGAAUUACACUAUAAGGGACGCAUUGUGCUUGUGACAAAUUCUACUUGCAUCUUCAAGAGUAGAUUUUGGACAAAGUUAUUCCAUAUGCAGGGUACUAAAUUGAAAAGGAGUACGACAUAUCACCCACAAACCAACAGCCAACCGGAAGUUUUAAACAGGUGCUUGGAGACAGCCCAAAGCCACCCACCAAAUAUGACUACCCAAAGAGAACUCCAGACCCAGCCAAGUGCCAUUAUUGAUCGACGGAUCGUGACUCGACGACGAUGAC